rnacentral:rRNA from 1 species
CUGAUGCAGCACGCCGCGUGAGUGAAGAAGGUUUUCGGAUCGUAAAGCUCUGUCAUCCGGGACGAUAAUGACGGUACCGGAAGAGGAAGCCACGGCUAACUACGUGCCAGCAGCCGCGGUAAUACA